rnacentral:rRNA from 1 species
GAUGAACGCUGGCGGCGUGCCUAAUACAUGCAAGUCGAGCGAACAGACGAGGAGCUUGCUCCUCUUACGUUAGCGGCGGACGGGUGAGUAACACGUGGAUAACCUACCUAUAAGACUGGGAUAACUUCGGGAAACCGGAGCUAAUACCGGAUAAUAUAUUGAACCGCAUGGUUCAAUAGUGAAAGACGGUUUUGCUGUCACUUAUAGAUUGAUCCGCGCCGCAUUAGCUAGUUGGUAAGGUAACGGCUUACCAAGGCAACGAUGCGUAGCCGACCUGAGAGGGUGAUCGGCCACACUGGAACUGAGACACGGUACAGACUACUACGGGAGGAAGCAGUAGGGAAUAUUCCGCAAUGGGCGAAAGCAUGACGGAGCAACGCCGCGUGAGUGAUGAAGGUCUUCGGAUCGUAAAACUCUGUUAUUAGGGAAGAAAAAAUGUGUAAGUAACUAUGCACGUAUUGACGGUACCUAAUCAGAAAGCAACGGCUAACUACGUG